rnacentral:rRNA from 1 species
CUAGUAUGAACGGUUUCAUGAGGGUCUAACUGUCUCCUAAGGCCUAUCAAUGAAUUUGAUGACUCAGUACAAACGCUGAAAUAAUCUCACAAGACGAGAAGACCCUGUGGAACUUAAAGUUCCAAAGCUAGCAACUAUCGCACUAAGCCGUCAAGCCUAGCAAAAACUUUCAGUUGGGGCAACUAUGGAGUAUAGCAGAACCUCCACGAACUGCAGCUACACCUGCACACCAAGGCUCACACGCCAAUACCAGACCCAGCCAGACUGAUCUACGAACCAAGCUACCCCAGGGAUAACAGCGCCAUCCCCUUCAAGAGUUCAUAUCACCAAGGGGGUUUACGACCUCGAUGUUGGAUCAGGACCCCCAGGCGGUGCAGCCGCUGCCAAAGGCUCGUUUGUUCAACGAAUAA